GCCAGUGUGGUGUAGUGGAUUGAGUGUUGGACUAUGACUCUGGAGACCAGGGUUCAAUUCCCUGCUUAGUCA